rnacentral:sRNA from 1 species
GCGCGGGGUAGAAGGUUAGGGGACCCGGCGGGCCACUCGGCACAGGCCGGGACAUGAACGCUUGGAAGUCUGGCUGGGAGCGGACCCAUGCUCGAAGGACCAAAGGAGCCGCGUGAUCGCUGGACCUGGCCCUGCGACCCCAGUCAUGGGCCAGACCUCGGUGUCCACGCUGUCCCCGCAGCCCGGCAGCGUUGACGGACUGGACAAAACUUCUAUAGCAAACUCAGAUGGCCCCACAGCAGGUUCCCAAACACCUCCCUUCAAAAGAAAGGGGAAACUAUCCACCAUUGGUAAAAUCUUUAAGCCUUGGAAAUGGAGGAAAAAGAAGACCAGCGACAAAUUUAGAGAAACCUCAGCAGUAUUAGAAAGGAAGAUAUCCACACGACAAAGUAGAGAGGAGCUGAUAAGAAGGGGAGUGCUUAAGGAAUUGCCUGAUCAAGAUGGAGAUGUAACAGUUAACUUUGAAAAUUCAAACGGGCACAUGAUACCCAUCGGAGAGGAAUCUACCCGAGAGGAAAAUGUAGUAAAGUCUGAAGAAGGUAAUGGCUCUGUAUCUGAAAAAACACCACCUCUGGAGGAAAAGGCAGAAGAUAAGAAAGGUAAAAUAAAGACAAACCCAUAUUAUUUACUUUAGCAUAUAGCUCAAUGUCUAGAACCAGCACUUAGGCUCCAACUAGUGACUCUAAAACCAGCAGUCUGCAGAGGAGAGGUUUACAAAUAGAAAAAAGAAAGAAAUGAUAGCUAGUAAAGUGAAAUCGGAUGAUUUUCUCAGGUAGAUGCAUCCAUUUUAUAAGCACAGUAUUUGUUUUUUCAAUUAUUAAAAAU